rnacentral:rRNA from 1 species
AUGUGCACGUUCAAUUUCUUCAGUGGCAAAAAAGUGGAACCUGCAGGAGAAGCCACGGGGGGCGAGGACGUCCAACUCGGCGAGAUUAACGUCAUAGUCGACCCCAUGUUCGCUGGCAAGACCACCGUGGUUCUCCGCCGGCACCGUCCAUGGCUGGAGCUUGCUGGCGAUGGCGGAUGUGGAGCUUCACCACCAUUCGCAGCUCCAAACCGUGAUCCAGUUCUUCGUGAGGCUCUCGAGCUUGUAUUUUUUUCCAGUUCAUCUAAUGUUAGGGACAGUCAUCCGGGUGCAUGGGAGCAACUGCUGAUGGAGGACGAGUCAAAGUGUUGUGACUGGCUGCUAUAG